rnacentral:rRNA from 1 species
UACGUAGGGAGCAAGCGUUGUCCGGAUUUAUUGGGCGUAAAGGGCACGCAGGCGGUCUGUUCAGUCACGAGUGACAGGUGUCGGCUUAACUGACACAGGCCUCGUGAGACGGGCAGACUUGAGGACUUGAGAGGGAGACGGAAUUCCGGGUGGAGCGGUGAAAUGCGUAGAGAUCCGGAGGAACACCGAAGGCGAAGGCAGUCUCCUGGCAAGUGUCUGACGCUCAGGUGCGAAAGCUCGGGGAG